ensembl:snoRNA U3 Small nucleolar RNA U3
AAGACUAUACUUUCAGGGAUCAUUUCUAUAGUUUGCUACUAAAUAAGAUACCAUCAAAAUAUCAUCCGUUUCUUUUUAAUCAACAGA